UGCACUUUUUGUGUUGGGUUAUCUAAGCAAUCAUGCAUGCAUUUUCAAUGUGGGGUGGUUUAUGUAGUUAGUUAUGUUUGUUGCUUAGUAACCUGAGCCAAGCUGCAUUCCAGAGUUGAUGACACCAUUUAGGGGGUUUUGCAUAUGAAAUGGGAAAUGGGAGUAUCCUUUCUGGGGACACACAGGAAGUGAUGUACAGAUGCCUCUUCCUGUCUCUUCCUUCUUCGCUCCUGCCAUGCCAUGCCAUGCUGAUGUUCCUGUUUGUUAAGAGAUAUGUAGUAUCCUGAACUGUUUUUUCUUUUGGAACUAAGAUGUUUUUGCCUGUAUGACCAUCAUCAUACAAGAUUCACACAGCAGAACAAAGACAAAUGGAACAAAAGUUAGAGGGAAAGAAGAAUGAGAGCAGCCCUUCUUGAACAAUGAUGAAUGAACUGCUUCCUUUACUCUGUGGUACCUGAGAAGUUAUAAAAGGGGCUUCUGACCAUAUCACAGAUGCAGACAGAUGAUAAACUACAGACUACUUCAGACUUCUGAUCUCACACUUGUUUGCUGUUUUUGCUGUAAGAAAUGUCCUGGCCAGAUGACACAAAGAACCACCUCAAACAUAUCUGAAACUGGACUGAUAAUAUUUGUACCUGAGUAUGCUGAACAAAUGAAAGUUGUGCAUAAACCAAAUAAGUUAUUUUUAUCAAGGUUUUCCUCAUUUGAGAACAUAAAAUAUAACAAGUUAUUUUAUGGGAGAAUAAGUACAUUUUUGGGUACUGAAAAACACUUCUCAAGCUCUGCUGUUUUUAUGCAUUGGCAAAUCUGUUUUCCUAACAGAUCAGAGAUAAUAGGUUAUUCAGUCUAACAACUGAAACCAUUGCCUUGCAUAAUUAUAUCUGAUUGUAUACCACAAUAAAAGAUUCUAUUCUAA